AGCGCGUAUGCGGUGACAUCUCGUGAAAGUUUAAACUGAAAUGGCACCUUCAUCCGUGCACU
rnacentral:pre_miRNA from 1 species